rnacentral:rRNA from 1 species
UACGUAGGUGGCAAGCGUUGUCCGGAUUUACUGGGCGUAAAGGAUGCGUAGGCGGACAUUUAAGUCAGAUGUGAAAUACCCGAGCUUAACUUGGGUGCUGCAUUUGAAACUGGGUGUCUAGAGUGCAGGAGAGGUAAGUGGAAUUCCUAGUGUAGCGGUGAAAUGCGUAGAUAUCCGGAAGAACACCGAUGGCGAAGGCAACCACCUGGGCCUGCACUGACGCUGAGGUACGAAAGCGUGGGGAGCAAACAGG